ACAGACUCAUUCCUUUCAUUUUUGUAGUUAUACUUUUAAAACUUCAUGAAGAACAUUUACUACUUUAUAGUAAUCCUGUGUAUAUAUAUACACACACCAUUCUUAUUCCCUAAGCAUCCAAUUUUGACGCUUGUGCAGAAGCCAUCUGUGUCUGCAUGACGUGGUCCUCGUGGUGGCAUAGUGACUCGCUUCAAUCUGGGUGGCCGAGGACUACUCUGAGUUGCCUCUGCGUCUGAGACGUCAAUCUGCGCAUUUUAUCACGUGGCUUGUUGAGCGCAUUACCGCGGAGACCUAGCACAUGUGGAGGCACGCUAUUCUCUGCGGCAUCCAUGCACAACUCACCACACGCCCCACCGAGAGCAAGAACCACAUUAUAGCGACCACGAGGAGGUGACUCUAUCCACCCUAGCAACCGGGCCAAUUGGUUGCUUAGGAAGCGUGACUGGAGUCACUCAGCAUGCCCUGGAUUCGAACUUGAGACUCCAGGCAAGAGCGUAAAAUAAGGAAACGUGUGGAAGAUGCGCUUUAGGGACAUUCACCAAUCACAGGGAGGACUGCUCUUUACUCCCAAAAGUAAUAACGGUAACAGCAAUGCUACACACCAUGUGCGGUACUACACAAUGCGUGGUGCGGGCAAGAGCGCCCUUGGGUGUCAGAGAGGAAGAGGAGACAAGGAUGAGGAGCCAAUAUAUACAGACGAUUUUCAUGCAGGGCAGCAAGUUAUUGACUUUUUUCCUUCUCUCUCUGAUUUACAUUUUUACAGUUCUCUGCAACAGUCAUGCCCCAACUUUGUUACUAACUAUUCCACAAAUAACUUUUUUUGUUUACUUAUUAAUUUAUUUUUUCA